GACGAACGCUGGCGGCGUGCUUAACACAUGCAAGUCGAACGGAAAGGCCCUGCUUUUGUGGGGUGCUCGAGUGGCGAACGGGUGAGUAACACGUGAGUAACCUGCCCUUGACUUUGGGAUAACUUCAGGAAACUGGGGCUAAUACCGGAUAUGAGCUCCUGCUGCAUGGUGGGGGUUGGAAAAUUUCGGCGGUUGGGGAUGGACUCGCGGCUUAUCAGCUUGUUGGUGGGGUAGUGGCUUACCAAGGCUUUGACGGGUAGCCGGCCUGGGAGGGUGACCGGCGACAUUGGGACUGAGAGACGGCCCAGACUCCUACGGGAGGCAGCAGUGGGGAAUAUUGCACAAUGGGCGCAAGCCUGAUGCAGCAACGCCGCGUGCGGGAUGACGGCCUUCGGGUUGUAAACCGCUUUCGCCUGUGACGAAGCGUGAGUGACGGUAAUGGGUAAAGAAGCACCGGCUAACUACGUG
rnacentral:rRNA from 1 species